rnacentral:rRNA from 1 species
UGCUUACACAUGCAAGUCGAACGAGAAACGGUCUAGCUUGCUAGAUGCAGUCUAAGUGGCGCACGGGUGAGUAAUAUAUAGGUAAUAUGCCUCUUACUAAGGGAUAACAGAUGGAAACGUCUGCUAAUACCUUAUAUGCCUUUAGGACUAAAGUCCGCAAGGGAAAGAUUCAUCGGUAAGAGAUUAGCCUGUACAGUAUCAGUUAGUUGGUGAGGUAAUGGCUCACCAAGACUAUGACACUUAACUGGUUUGAGAGGAUGAUCAGUCACACUGGAACUGAGACACGGUCCAGACUCCUACGGGAGGCAGCAGUGGGGAAUAUUGCACAAUGGACGAAAGUCUGAUGCAGCAACGCCGCGUGGAGGAUGACACAUUUCGGUGCGUAAACUCCUUUUAUAUGAGAAGAUAAUGACGGUAUCAUAUGAAUAAGCACCGGCUAACUCCGUGCCAGCAGCCGCGGUAAUACGGAGGGUGCAAGCGUUACUCGGAAUCACUGGGCGUAAAGAGCGUGUAGGCGGGUUGAUAAGUUUGAAGUGAAAUCCUAUAGCUUAACUAUAGAACUGCUUUGAAAACUGUUAACCUAGAAUAUGGGAGAGGUAGAUGGAAUUUCUGGUGUAGGGGUAAAAUCCGUAGAGAUCAGAAGGAAUACCGAUUGCGAAGGCGAUCUACUGGAACAUUAUUGACGCUGAGACGCGAAAGCGUGGGUAGCAAACAGGAUUAGAUACCUGGUAGUCCACGCCCUAAACGAUGUACACUAGUUGUUGUGAGGCUCGACCUUGCAGUAAUGCAGUUAACACAUUAAGUGUACCGCCUGGGGAGUACGGGCGCAAGAUUAAAACUCAAAGGAAUAGACGGGGACCCGCACAAGCGGUGGAGCAUGUGGUUUAAUUCGACGAUACACGAAGAACCUUACCUGACUUGACAUAGUAAGAACUU